UAACGAAUCUUCCGCAAUGGGCGAAAGCCUGACGGAGCAAUGCCGCGUGUGGGAUGAAGCGCCUUCGGCGUGUAAACCACUGUCAGGGAAUGGAACCAAUGAUUAUUCCCAAAGGAAGUGGCGACUAACUCUGUGCCAGCAGUCGCGGUAAUACAGAGGCCACAGGCGUUAGUCGGAAUCACUGGGCUUAAAGGGUGCGUAGGCGGGCCCGCAAGCGUCUUGUGAAAUCCCAUGGCUCAACCAUGGAAUUGCAGGGCGAACUGCGGGUCUUGAGGCAGGUAGGGGCCGGAAGAACAGUAGGUGGAGCGGUGAAAUGCGUAGAUAUCUACUGGAAUGCCGAUGGGGAAGCCGUCCGGCUGGGCCUGUCCUGACGCUGAGGCACGAAAGCGUGGGGAGCAAACAGGAUUAGAUACCCCCGUAGUCCCUGAGCGGGCUGGCAAGGCGCAU
rnacentral:rRNA from 1 species